AUUGAACGCUGGCGGCAUGCCUUACACAUGCAAGUCGAACGGCAGCACGGGUGCUUGCACCUGGUGGCGAGUGGCGAACGGGUGAGUAAUACAUCGGAACAUGUCCUGUAGUGGGGAUAGCCCGGCGAAAGCCGGAUUAAUACCGCAUACGAUCUACGGAUGAAAGCGGGGGACCUUCGGGCCUCGCGCUAUAGGGUUGGCCGAUGGCUGAUUAGCUAGUUGGUGGGGUAAAGGCCUACCAAGGCGACGAUCAGUAGCUGGUCUGAGAGGACGACCAGCCACACUGGGACUGAGACACGGCCCAGACUCCUACGGGAGGCAGCAGUGGGGAAUUUUGGACAAUGGGCGAAAGCCUGAUCCAGCAAUGCCGCGUGUGUGAAGAAGGCCUUCAGGUUGUAAAGCACUUUUGUCCGGAAAGAAAUCCUUGGCCCUAAUACGGUCGGGGGAUGACGGUACCGGAAGAAUAAGCACCGGCUAACUACGU
rnacentral:rRNA from 1 species